rnacentral:rRNA from 1 species
GACGAACGCUGGCGGCGUGCUUAACACAUGCAAGUCGAACGGAAAGGCCCUGCUUUUGUGGGGUGCUCGAGUGGCGAACGGGUGAGUAACACGUGAGUAACCUGCCCUUGACUUUGGGAUAACUUCAGGAAACUGGGGCUAAUACCGGAUAGGAUCUCCUGCUGCAUGGUGGGGAUUGGAACGUUUAGGCGUUUGGGGAUGGACUCGCGGGUUAUGAGCUAGUUGGUGGGGUAGUGGCUUACCAAGGCUUUGACGGGUCGCCGGCCUGAGAGGGUGAACGGCCACAUUGGGACUGAGAGACGGACCAGACUCCUACGGGAGGCAGUAGGGGGGAAUAUGGCACAAUGGGCGGAAGCCUGAGGCAGAAACGCCGCGGGCGGGAUGACGGCUUUCGGGUUGAAAACAGCUUUCGCCUGUGACGAAGCGUGAGUGACGGUAAUGGGUAAAGAAGCACCGGCUAACUACGUG